rnacentral:rRNA from 1 species
AAGGUCGCCAACCCGCGAGGGGGAGCCAAUCCCAUAAAGCCAUUCGUAGUCCGGAUCGCAGUCUGCAACUCGACUGCGUGAAGUCGGAAUCGCUAGUAAUCGUGGAUCAGAAUGUCACGGUGAAUACGUUCCCGGGUCUU